AUGGCUUCGAGCGGCCUCUUGUUCGGCCUCGUCAAGUCGCCGCCCGCCGUGUAUCAAGUCCGCGCCACGAGCCGCCCCGGCCUCGAUUCCGGCCUCAAGUCACCUCCCCCACGACCAUCUUUGAACCAGACUCUACGUCCGGCGGGUCGCGGUGCCUGGAGUCGCCCUCUGCUCCAAGUCACCGCAGCCUUGGGCCAGCUGCAUCCCCGCCGUCGCAGAUGCAACCCGCCACCGGCUGCACCUGCUGGCUCCGCUGCACCGCUUACCUCUGCUGCUACCCUGCCGGGUUACGACCAUGAAGGCGCCACAAACUGCCACAGCUUCCCCUGGACAAACGCCAUUUCAAACCAGCCUCACCUUCGCCGCCACCGUAAUCGGCUGCGACCCGCGUCCGAGCCACGCGCAUACGCCGCCGAGGAUCGAUAG
rnacentral:rRNA from 1 species